GUUUGCUCUCUCUCUCUCUCUCUCUCUCUCUCUCUCUCUCUCUCUCUCUCUCUCUCUCUCUCUUCUCUCUCUCUCUCUCUCUCUCCCUCCAGGAUGAGGCAGGAUCUAUGAUUUGAGGGGCUCAGGAAGACUUGAGGGUGUGUGGAGCAAGAAGGAUGAAGCCAGUGAGGGCUUGGCGAAGGGGCUUAUAAGCAGACCUCACUGUGAAGACACCAGAAACUGAGUGGAUAUUGUUUGCACGUAUGUUUGCCUGUUCCAGACGUAUGGGCGCAACAAGAGAACAAAGACCCAAGUCUUCAUUUAUUAUGCUGAAUUUGGGGCUUGGUACUGUUUUGAGAAGUCAUACAAGGAAAUGUGGAGAGCACCACUCUUCUUCUAAGGCCAUGCUUGAAUGGAGUGCUGGCUUUGAGAACACACACCGAGGAUGAAGAAGGCCAAGAUUUCUGUCCAGUACACAUUGGCUGCCACAAACCUUUGGGGACAACCUCUGGUUUCAAAUAUGAACACAUGUGGAUGGAGAAGGUUUUCCUGGGAUUUAACCUUGGGAUGAAAAGUGUCGAUAUUUUAAGAAAUGUACUCAUGCAAAAAAAAAAAAACUAUUCUUUUUGUCUCUCUUUUUAAAAUGAAAAUUUGUCCCUUCAAGUCAGAAAUAGAUUUUCUUGAAAUAAAGCAAACAUCCUCUAAAAGGCUUCCA
rnacentral:lncRNA from 1 species